GACACGGACGGGCGGCUGCGCCGGGUCUUGCCGGGCACUCGGGAUUCGGCUCGGGCGAGAGGGGGGCGAGGACCCUGCCGAGCCGGACCGAGCCGUGGAGCCAUGUUCCACCUGUGGAAGGCCGUUCUCGCGGAGAGCCUCCUGGGCUACAUUUCUUGGUCUCUUUACCAUGCCCUGCCACCAAUGAUUUAUUACUUCCCCCUUCAGACACUGGCACUCACAGGUCUGGAAAGUUUUGCUGUUGCCUUCUUUUCUCCAGUAUUUUUGAUAAUUGGCCCUUUUUGGAGGUUGGCUAACAAUAAGUACAUCCUAGCCCUUCUGAGACUCACUAUGGUUGGAAGCUUAGCAUCAUACCAGGCACCAAAUGCUCCAAUUAGACUAGUCAUCUUGGCUGCAGGUGUUUCAUCCUCAUUGCUGGUACAAACAGUAACAUGGUGGUCGGGAAACAGCUUACAAAGGUUCAUCAGGAUAUGGGGCUUCAUGCUAGGCAAGAUAAUGCUCCUUGUUCUUCGUAUCUGGUAUACAUCACUAAACCCAGUCUGGAGCUCACAAGCUGCCAAUACUGUCAUACUGGCAAUUGGUUUUAUAGCAGCAGUGGAGCGAAUUUAUUCAGAUGGAGACAAGAGGAAACAAGAAGCAAAGAAAACUGGUAAUGCAGUUAGAGAGACAGUUUUGCACCCUCGUUGGCUGUUGUCAGGGAUUGCUUUUGGCAGUCUCAUGUUCCUCACCCUGUGGAUAUUUGGGGAGGUCUCAUUAAUUUCUAGAUGGGCAGUAAGUGGACAUCCACAUGCAGGUCCAGAUCCUAAUCCAUAUGGAGGUACAGUUCUGUUGGGCCUGGCUCAUGGGCUGAUGCUUUCAUUUUGGAGCUGGUCUUCUGCCACCAGUUUUGCUUGGUUUCUUGUAGGUUUAGCAUCUUCAGCUGGUCUUCUUUAUUUACACACCUGGAGUGCUGCUAUUGCAGGCAACAUUCUUGCUGUCUUUACUAUGUGCAUAUGGCCUCAGCUGGCUGGCCACUUCGCUAGCUGUCUGCACCCUGGGAAAGCCAUGAGUACUGCCAUGUUUGCCUAUGUUCUUGAAUUAUUCUUCUGUGUAUGGUGUACAGCUUAUAAAUUUGUACCUGGAGGAAUUUAUGCUAGAGAAAGCUCCCAUCUUCUUUUAGGGUUUAUAAUGUUAUGUAUUGGGAUAGACUUUCUAACAUUACCCAAGCAAGACCUCAGCUCUAUCUUUGAAGUGAAAAGCAACCAAAAGCCACUAUUCAGAAAGAGUAAAACCUUUAUUAAAAUACUAUUGUGGCUCUUUGUUGGUGUUGGUUUACUAGGAUUGGGUCUACGUUAUAAAACUUACCAGAAGAAGCUGGGCCAAGGGGUUCCCAAAAGAGACUUCUCUGCUAUGAUCUGGCCUUUUAGAUUUGCAUAUAACAAUGAAGGAUGGUCUAAUUUGGAAGGAUCAGCUGAUCUGCUUAAUCAGACAGAUGCUGAUUUUAUCACUAUUAUAGAGAGUGAUGCCUCCAAACCAUUCAUUGGGAAUAAUGAUCCAACAAUGUGGCUGGGAGAAAGACUAGGAUUUUACACAGACUUUGGUCCAAGCACAAGAGAUCACACUUGGGGGAUUAUGGCGCUGUCACGGUAUCCAAUUGUAAAAUCUACCCAUCACCUCCUUCCAUCUCCAGAGGGAGAGAUUGCACCUGCCAUCUCAAUGACUGUCAACUUCACAGGGAAACUGGUUGAUUUUGUUGUCGCCCACUUUGGAAAUGAAGAGGAGGACUUAGACAGGAAACUCCAGGCUAUAGCUGUUUCAAAUAUAUUGAAGACUAGCUCUAAGCAAGUAGUAUUUCUAGGAUACAUCACUUCAGCUCCUGGAUCCAGAGAUUAUACUGAAUUAAUAGAAAAUGGAAAUGUCCAGGAUAUUGACAGUACAGAUCAUGACAGAUGGUGUAGCUAUAUUAUGUAUCGAGGAGUAAUAAGGUUGGGCUAUGCCCGCAUAUCUCAUGCUGGUUUAAGUGAUUCAGAAGUCCAGAUGGCCAAAUUCAGGAUCCCAGAUCACUUGGAUAGCUAUGUUGACAAUGACAGAAUCAUCACUGAUCCUAGCCAAGUUCCUGAGGACAUCCAUUUCAAUCCUAGGUUUGGAUCUUAUAAAGACGGACAUAAUUAUGAGCAUAUUCAUCACUUUCAUAUGAGCACUCCUAAAUAUUUUAAACAGAUAAAUUAGAAUGAGAAAGUAAUACAUCACUGGGACCAACAAAAAAGGGCAUUAGACACUGCAAUGCUUUUACACAAAGGGAAGAAUAAAGUACCUCUGAAUAGUUAUUGUUAUGAGACACUCAUGAGAACGCACUGCAGGAGAGUUAAAAGCAAGCAUGCUCAGCGUGACAAGGUCAGUUAAAGUUGCUAGGAAUAUACAGGAAGAGACAGCAGUACAUCAGGAGCCUACCAGUGUGUAUCUGAGAACAAGAAAGAUGGACUCUAGGUAACAUGUAAGAGAGGAACUUCUGAGACUAAUGGUACUGGGUUCUUCAGUGGGAUGGAGACUCAAGUCUCCUCUUAACAUAUGUUCCUGUUCUGGGGCCUCGUGUGAGGCAUUUCUAUGUGUGUAAACUUGGCUUCAGGAGCUGUGGCUCUGGUGUUGUCACAGAGCACUCUGAAACCUGGGAGCUGCAGUUCAAACCUCUGGGGCUGAGAAGGACCUGAAAUUGUUAUUUCCCAUUUUCCAACAGGGUGUAAGAGUACCAAGUUUAUUACUAAAGUUGGGGAUACCCUUUGGAUUUUGACUGGAGUUGAUGUUACUGGAACAAGCUGGGUGCAGCUUCAGUGUGCAGGUGACUAGCUCCCAUGCUGUCACUGAAACAGAGCACUGAAGAUGUUCAGGGUCCUCUACUGACAGGGACGGAGCUUUGUUGCCCCCAAAGGUGCUAGUUGUCUGGAUCCAUCUCCAUGGUUCAGGCAGAAAUUCUGAAUGCUCCAUGACAUAGCUUCCCAAUUAGGAAUUAAGUGGAUUUCUUUUUUUUUUUUUAAUUUCAAACUGAAGGUGAAAACCCCUAUAGAUCCAGUUUAAGGAUUUAAAUAUGGGGUAACAGUAGCCUGAAAUAUGUGUUUUCUUAUGUAUGUAAAAUUACCUUUGUUUGCAGGAUGUUACAGAAGGACCUUUGUGGUCAAACUCAUAUGUCUGGGGCAAGUAUAACAGAACAAAUGUUUCUACUUAAAGGAGGAGCAUAGUAUGAGUCCGUGGGACAGGGCAGUUAAAACGAGCUGACUUCUUGAAGGAGCAGUGGAGUUUAUAGAAUCUGCAGCUGCUGCUUUCUGCCACCUGAGGUCCUCUUUUAUCCCUGAUCAGUUCUGGUCUGCUGACAGUGCAAGAAUAAGGCAAAGUUUAGGUGCUUCAUUGUAACUUUUCAGGGUGAAAAAUCUUUUCAGAAGCAUUCCUUUCUCAUAUCUGCAAAUGUUUUAUGACAGCGAUUGUUGGGCUUCUGGUAGAUAAUUCGUUUCUUUUCUUACAAUGCCCUGUACUGUGCUUUGUUGCUUCUUUAUCUGCUUUGUUAGUGUUCAGCAAAUUAUGCUUUGGUAAUGUUUUUAUUUUCACUACAGUUCUCUUCCCCCUCUGGCUUAUCACAUAAUGGUUUAUGAUUCUGGUGCCUAAAAUCAACUUUCAAGCUUGUUUCUAAGCAAAGCAAGAUGAACGAAGGUAUUUGAGACAUGCAGUGGCUUUAGCAAUUUGGAGUCUGAAACCCUUUGGAAACAGAGGGGAUCUUUUUUCUCCAAGGUGCUUCUGCAUGAUGUUUCUGAUAGUGGAAAAGAUAUAAGUAAGUAAAUGACUCCUCUUUCUCAUGUUAGUAUUUUUCAGUCUAUGGUAAUUUUUUAUGUGGUUGUAAUUUUAGUCAUCAAUUAAAAAAAAGCAAUAUAGCCAUAAAAAGACAAGCAAUAACAGUUUCUCCUUGAUUGAAGUUUUAAGUUUGCUCUAGCAGUGUGCAAACUGGCUGAUGCAUUUCCUGCCCGCACCAGUUCUUGGAUUAUUAUUCCUCACUUGUGUGCUAAUGAGAGCAUCUGCACAUGUGUGUAGUGAGCCAGAGCAGGGUAUUCAUCUGGCUGGAAAACAAGCAAAUGAAUGAAACCACAAGUGUUGAGGUUUUUGUUUUGGGUUGGGUUUUUUGCUUUUGGGGGGCAUUGGAGACAGUCUUCCUCUUUGAUCUACCUUGCUAUCUAGCUGUACAAACGUUUGCACUGGCACAAAAGAAAGGAUGCCAGGAAGGCUGGGAUUAAGAGGUGCUUGAUCCACCAUGACUUGAUUGAUCUGUUCUAUGUAAGAUGAAGUAUUUCUGUGUUCUGUAAACUCAAGUUUCAGAAAGAAAAUACAGGCAUGAUUUCAUAACAUCUGCCAGCCUGGAGACUUGCAUAAUGGUUUACAAUUAGUGGUACAGGAGAUAUUUACACCUUCUUCAGGCUGGCAUGAAGGUGUAUGUUGUAAUGGGCCUUGUUCUCAUGGGGCAGGCCUUUUCUGGCCGAAGCAUACAUUCCCUUGUUUAGCAGGCAGAAGCAGAAAACAAAGCCUCUUUUGUGUUUCCCUAUGGACUUCUUUGCAGGUCUGGUUCUUAAGGGUCAGGGAUUAUACUUCUGCAUUCAGCUAUUCAAAAGUAUUUUGAACUGUCAAACCUACAGUAUUAUUUGCUUUGCACUUACAGUAGGAGUUACAGAAGCUAGAGGCUAAGGAAAGUUCUGUAAAGCCAAGGUAGUAUCUUUCAUUUUAGACUAAUAUAAAUGGGGGGAGGGAGGGGAAAGUACAAAUCUUUCUGAUUUCAGAUACCACCAGAUACUAUUUUUCUGUGCCACCUUUCUUUAGAUCUGUAUCCAUAUACAGCUAUGUAAGGCAUUGAAGGUUAUUUUUUCAGAUUACGUUUUUAUUCAGAUCCAGCAGUCUGUGUGCUUUUUAUGGUCAAUGUGAACAAACAGGCACCCCUAAAGGAAUUGUUCCUCUCAAUCCAGAAUUAGAACAGAUUAGAUGAAUUGCAACUCAGUGGUGCCCCUAUUGGGUAUAAGAGCUUGGGAUGACACACACAAAUGUGAAUGUUUGGCAUGUGGGAUGUUAGAACUACUCAAGAAGUGAAACCUAGCUUGUACUGCUUUAUGAUAUAUAUACAUGUAUAUAUAUCAUAAUAUAUAUUUAAAUAUAUGUAUUCAAAGGUGGUAAAGUAUACAGUUCUUACGGUAAAGAAGAGAUGGUGCAAAUAGGAAAAUAUCAUAGAGGCAGGAAGCUCUACAGAUAUACUGUCAAGGAGUUAAUGAAUAAGUAAGAAUUUGAAAUAAUGGGGUCUUUCAUUGCUCUGACAUGGUCUUAGUAUAUGACUUUUGAAGACAAUUCAUUUUCUUAUGGACUUCAUCUUCUCUGGAAAUCAGGCAGUUGACAACAUAAGAUGCUGCUCUGCAAAUUAUAUCGGCUGCACUUGCACAUUCCGAGUGUUUCACGGAGUCAGGCAAGGCUCAUAAAAAGGCUCAGACAGGUGUGUGAUCUGUUAAUUCAGGACUGUGUGCUAAUGCAUUGCUUCAAAAGGACCAUCACCUUAAAUCCGGUGCUUCUUCAA